GGGCCCCUCCCCCUUCCCUCUCCCUCUCUCUCCCUCUCUCUUUCUCUCUCUCACUCUGCCCUCCUUUCUCUCUCUCACUCUCCCACACCCUCUCUCUCUCUCUCUCUCUCUCUCUCUCUCGUGCGCUCUAGUCUCGAGCAGCAGUUGGUGGAGGCUCACACUAGCGCGCGGACAUCAGAAGCAAUAGGACGCGAAGGCGAGGCGCGCGCACGGAGUACACAGGACGCGCACAGUAACCGGGGGGAGUACCGGACACACAGACCACAACCAAGACCACCACCGCGCGCAGGUAGAAGACCCCCACUGAGCCGGACAUGUGGAAUCGGACUAUCUAAAGAUCUUCAGGAGCUUUUAUUGGACUAGAUUUGUGUUUUUAACGCGUUUGAUGGCUGGAAAGGCGCAUCGGUAAAAAUUGCGCACUGUGCGCAAAAGACGAGCAGAAGGGCGCACCGGGAACACACGGGCGCGCGCAUACGCGUAUCUCCCGGGCAGCAGAACCAGGGCACAGGAGGGACCCCCGGUGCCAGCUCGGGCUUGCAGAAUUGAAGAAAGACCACCGGGUGCCUAACUAAAGGAUUUUCCGCGCGUUACGUGCGCGCGCGCUAAAAGAUUGCGCUUUUGGAUUUACCGCAAAACUUCUCCCUCUACACCUCAAAACCACCACCACCACCGCGCUUUCCUUCCCCGCGGAUGGGGCUGAGUCUGAGUGGGGAGCCCGUCGUGGAGCGCGUGCAGAGCCUGUAGGACCCCCCUGCUUCUGCUACUGCUACUACUCCCUCACUCUCUCGCUACACACCUUGACGCGCGCGCACACACACACACGCCGACACACACACCUUCAUGCCCUCCUCUGUCUGGAUCCCAGUAUGGAUUACUUUGUGCUCCUCUGCAGCUUCCUGCUGCCCCUCAGCACCGCUGUGGAAGAAACAUUGAUGGACACCAAAUGGGCCACAACUGAGCUGGCCUGGACGGCACAUCCUGAGACAGGGGUGAGUUAUACGUAAAACUACCAACUUGAACAGUAUUUCUAUUUUACAACACACUUUCAGAGCAGAACAAAUCUAAGAAACUUCAGUAUCUGUUGUCUUUGUUGCCCAAAAAGUAUAGUGUUUGGUUCCUAGUGUGUUUGUACGUGAAUUAGGGCACUAACUGUCUCUUUCUGCUCCGCCCCCUACCCUUUACCAUGCUGUACCAGCUGUUCC
rnacentral:lncRNA from 1 species